rnacentral:rRNA from 1 species
AGAGUUUGAUCCUGGCUCAGGACGAACGCUGGCGGCAUGCCUAAUACAUGCAAGUCGAACGCUUUGAUUUCACCGGGUGCUUGCACCCACCGAAGUCAAGGAGUGGCGGACGGGUGAGUAACACGUGGGUAACCUGCCCAUGAGUGGGGGAUAACAUUCGGAAACGGAUGCUAAUACCGCAUAUUUCUAAUCGCCUCCUGGCGAACUGAAAAAAGGUGGCUUCGGCUACCGCUUAUGGAUGGACCCGCGGCGUAUUAGCUAGUUGGUGAGGUAAUGGCUCACCAAGGCGAUGAUACGUAGCCGACCUGAGAGGGUGAUCGGCCACACUGGGACUGAGACACGGCCCAGACUCCUACGGGAGGCAGCAGUAGGGAAUCUUCCGCAAUGGACGAAAGUCUGACGGAGCAAUGCCGCGUGAGUGAAGAAGGUUUUCGGAUCGUAAAACUCUGUUGUUAGAGAAGAACAAGGAUGAGAGUAACUGCUCAUCCCCUGACGGUAUCUAACCAGAAAGCCACGGCUAACUACGUGCCAGCAGCCGCGGUAAUACGUAGGUGGCAAGCGUUGUCCGGAUUUAUUGGGCGUAAAGCGAGCGCAGGCGGCUUUUUAAGUCGGAUGUGAAAUCCCUGAGCUUAACUUAGGAAUUGCAUUCGAUACUGGGAAGCUAGAGUAUGGGAGAGGAUGGUGGAAUUCCAGGUGUAGC